rnacentral:rRNA from 1 species
CCCUUAGAUGUUCUGGGCCGCACGCGCGCCACACUGAUGAAUGCAACGAGCUCUACCCUUGACCGAAAGGCCCGGGUAAACUUGUGAAACUUCAUCGUGAUGGGGAUAGAUUAUUGCAAUUAUUAAUCUUCAACGAGGAAUUCCUAGUAAGCGCGAGUCAUCAGCUCGCGUUGAUUACGUCCCUGCCCUUUGUACACACCGCCCGUCGCUCCUACCGAUUGAAUGGUCCGGUGAAAUCUUCGGAUUGCUGACCAAGAUCCAGCAAUGGAGCUUGGUUGCGAGAAGUUGAUUAAACCUUAUUAUUUAGAGGAAGGAGAAGUCGUAACA